GCGGGAUCCGGGAGGAGUCCCGGGGCGGUUGAGGGGAGCGGGAGGAGCCCUGCUGUGGGGGGAUCGCACGUAGGCGAGGCGGUGGAUUGUGCCACAGGUGGGAGCGACGGGAGCAUCCCCCGGAGCUGAGCCCCCUGGUAGGCGGGAGCGCAGCCGCGCAGCGCGAGUUCUGCAGGAGUGAAGCCUGGUUGGAGGAGGUGAGUCACUGGGGCACAUGGCCUGGAAGGUGCAUCUUCCUCUCUUCUCCCCUGAUCUCUACUUCCUGCCUGCCAAGACAUAAGAAAUUCGCCUCUGCUGUGCUUUCCUGCCUUGGACCCAGCUGACUACAGCCUGAAACCUCUACAAACUAACUGAAGUAGUUCAUGGUUGAGGAAUUCAAGGACAUAUUAGCAGAAAUAUCUGAAACCAGAGGUCAAACUACACUUGGAAGUGUUAUUGGACAAACCCUUCUCUCCAUGCCCUGGCAUCCAUCCUGUCUGAAUAAUUUGUUUCUCUUCUGCUGGGGAGUAUCAUUCUUGUCUACAGAAGAAUGCUGCCCCCAAACGUCUGUCGCUUCCUCUGUGUCUCCCUGUGAGAUCGCUGGCUCUGCCCUCUGUCUGAGCCAUGAUUUCCCACUGGCUCCAGCCCCAGUUAUGUACUUCACCAUGACUCAGAAUCCUCAUCUCUCAUCUCUUCUUGGCAGCUGCACUGUUGAGAAGCCAGCUCUGCAGAGCCAGGGUGUGAAGCUGCUUCCUUGCCUGGCUUCCCUCAUGUGGUGGGUGGAGGCACGAUGCAGGCACCAGGCCAGGGGGGACAGAAUCCCAGCAUCAUCUCCAUACCACAAAAUGCCCAUUUGCAUGUCCUUUCUUCUCCAUGCACAUCUGUUCUUGUUUAUUUCUGGUCUGGAACAUUGUCUGUCAGUAAUAAAAACGUGAAGUCUUCUUUCA